rnacentral:rRNA from 1 species
ACGAACGCUGGCGGCGUGCUUAACACAUGCAAGUCGAACGGAAAGGCCCUGCUUUUGUGGGGUGCUCGAGUGGCGAACGGGUGAGUAACACGUGAGUAACCUGCCCUUGACUUUGGGAUAACUUCAGGAAACUGGGGCUAAUACCGGAUAGGAGCUCCUGCUGCAUGGGGGGGGUUGGAAAGUUUCGGCGGUUGGGGAUGGACUCGCGGCUUAUCAGCUUGUUGGUGGGGUAGUGGCUUACCAAGGCUUUGACGGGGAGCCGGCCUGAGAGGGGGACCGGCCACAUUGGGACUGAGAUACGGCCCAGACUCCUACGGGAGGCAGCAGUGGGGAAUAUUGCACAAUGGGCGGAAGCCUGAUGCAGCAACACCGCGUGCGGGAUGACGGCCUUCGGGUUGUAACCCGCUUUCGCCUGUGACGAAGCGUGAGUGACGGUAAUGGGUAAAGAAGCACCGGCUAACUACGUG